AUGAGACUACGGAGUCUUCUCCUGUGCCUGGUGACAGGUCCCCAUGAUGUCCUGUCUGGGGUGCAGCUGCAAGAGUCAGGCUCUGACCUGGCAAAGCCCUGUCAGACCCUGUCCCUCACCUCCAUGGUCUCUGGAUUAGCUAUCAUAAUGGGUGGUUAUGAACAGCACUGGAUCUGUCAGCCACCAGGAAAGAGCCUGAAGUCGAUGGGGGUAACAUAUUAUAGUGGUAGCACUAGCUACAGCUCCUCCCUCAAGAGCCGCAUCUCCAUUUCCAGAGACAUGGACAAGAACUAG